rnacentral:lncRNA from 1 species
GGGUGGUUUUGCAGAGGAGAGGAGACAUUUUCACCCUUUUGGAUUGUGACCAAGACACAGGAGACACCUGGACUGGAAAACCAAAGGAGGUGGCUCAGCAUGAAGAGCUUGGUGUGAGAAGGACCAUGGACUGAGUAUCUCAUCCAUGUCACAGUGAUGCCUGCUCCUGGACCAGGACCCACCAUGGGUAAGCUGUGGGAUAAGCUCUGCUCCCAGGAGAUUCACAGCAGGAUACAAGGACAGGAGUGACCAUCCAUCAAGGCACAUUGUCACCAGCGUGGCAGACAGCAAGCCCCAGGUGUGGAGGGGACAAGCUCUCACAAGCUCACAUUUUUGGGCCUGGUUCCUGUUUCACGUGGCAGCAGGGCUGGCCUCGACCCGGUGCCUGCCCCAGCAGAGCAGGACACGGUAGCUUGAAAGGGACUGUCGGGAGCAGAACAGCUGAGAGGCACAGUGAUCCCGCGCGGGUAUAAAUAGAGAC